UCCAGACUCCUACGGGAGGCAGCAGUGGGGGAUAUUGCACAAUGGGGGGAAACCCUGAUGCAGCGACGCCGCGUGGGUGAAGAAGCGCCUCGGCGCGUAAAGCCCUGUCAGCAGGGAAGAAAAUGGCGGUACCUGAAGAAGAAGCCCCGGCUAACUACGUGCCAGCUGCCGCGGUAAUACGUAGGGGGCAAGCGUUAUCCGGAUUUACUGGGUGUAAAGGGGGCGCAGACGGCGAUGCAAGCCAGGAGUGAAAGCCCGGGGCCCAACCCCGGGACUGCUCUUGGAACUGCGUGGCUGGAGUGCAGGAGGGGCAGGCGGAAUUCCUGGUGUAGCGGUGAAAUGCGUAGAUAUCAGGAGGAACACCAGUGGCGAAGGCGGCCUGCUGGACGAUGACUGACGUUGAGGCUCGAAAGCGUGGGGAGCAAACAGGAUUAGAUACCCGCGUA
rnacentral:rRNA from 1 species